GACGAACGCUGGCGGCGUGCCUAAUACAUGCAAGUCGAGCGAAUCUUUGGGAGCUUGCUUCCAUUGCUUAGCGGCGGACGGGUGAGUAACACGUGGGCAACCUGCCUGUAAGACUGGGAUAACACCGGGAAACCGGUGCUAAUACCGGAUAAUCCUUUCCUACACAUGUAGGAAAGCUGAAAGACGGUUUCGGCUGUCACUUACAGAUGGGCCCGCGGCGCAUUAGCUAGUUGGUGAGGUAACGGCUCACCAAGGCAACGAUGCGUAGCCGACCUGAGAGGGUGAUCGGCCACACUGGGACUGAGACACGGCCCAGACUCCUACGGGAGGCAACAGUAGGGAAUCUUCCGCAAUGGACGAAAGUCUGACGGAGCAACGCCGCGUGAGCGAUGAAGGCCUUCGGGUCGUAAAGCUCUGUUGUUAGGGAAGAACAAGUAUCGGAGUAACUGCCGGUACCUUGACGGUACUUAACCAGAAAGCCACGGCUAACUACGUGCCAGCCGCCGCGGUAAAAC
rnacentral:rRNA from 1 species